GGAAGGGUGGCUGAGUGGUUUAAGGCGACAGUCUUGAAAACUGUUGAGGGUGCAAGCCCUCCGUGAGUUCGAAUCUCACCCCUUCCG
rnacentral:tRNA from 1 species